rnacentral:lncRNA from 12 species
GGCUCCCCUGGGCUGGAUCCUCCGUCCCACAGCAGAGGCAGAAGCAGCAACAGGAGCCCUCCGAGGAGGCUGCAGUCGGGUGCUAUUAUUACUUCCUCUGGUUACUCAACUGCUAUUAAUAACAUCUAAGCUGAUAUGAGUGCGGUGCUUUCCUUGAAGAAUUCCAGGAAAUGAAAACUCAUUUUGAAGGAGGCUUUGCCCAGCAUUUCUUCUCCAUUCCGAGGAGGAGGACCUCAUCCUCACGGCAGCCACAGCGUCCGGUAUUGGAGUUUUCGAGUUAGUGACAAGCCAACAGAUUUGAAAAAACUAAACUGACUGUUAUAAAGAGCACUUUAUUAAUUUUGUUGACAAAGGUUGUUCAAUUUGAAUUAUUUAUGAUGCUCUAUUGUCCACUGGAGACAGCCCACAACUCAUUCAAUAGGAGGCAAUCAGCAGUGUAACCUGAGACCUUAGCCUAUCUCUCAACUUUCCAAUCCUUCUAACGAGGAAAGGCAGGUGUUUUCAAGAAAGAAGAGUUAUUCAUUUAUUCAAUAAAUAUUUAUUGAUAUUGAAAUGAUAAUUUAUG